rnacentral:rRNA from 1 species
CGCUGGCGGCGUGCCUAAUACAUGAUGCGCUAAUAACAUGCAAGUCGAACUGGAGUACCCGAGUGAGUAAUCAUUUGGAAUGCUUAGUGGCGCACCCUUUAGCUGGGUGACUAACGCGUUGGGUGACCUGCUCCGAAGAGGGGGACAACAGUCGAAAGGGCUGCUAAUACCCCAUGUGAUCUAACAGGUUAGAGGCUGAUAGAUAAAAGACUUCGGUCGCUUCUUUGGAGGGGCCUGCGUCCCAUCAGCUAGUGGUAGGGUAAAGGCCUUUACCAAGGCAAAGACGGGUAGGGGACCUGAGAGGGUGACCCCCCACAAUGGAACUGAAACACGUCCAUACACUGAUACGGGUGGCAGCAGUAGGUAAUAUUGCACAAUGGGCAAAGCCUGAUGCAGCAACGCCGGCGCCGUGCGCAGGAAGGCCUUCGGGUUGUAAAGCCUUUUC